GACGAACGCUGGCGGCGUGCUUAACACAUGCAAGUCGAGCGACGCUCUUCCUUCGGGGAGAUGACGGAGCGGCGAACGGGUGAGUAACACGUGGGCAACCUGCCCCUAGCUCUGGGACAACACCGGGAAACCGGUGCUAAUACCGGAUACGACAUCGAGCGGCAUCUCUCGAUGUGGAAAGUUUUUUCGGCUAGGGAUGGGCCCGCGGCCUAUCAGCUUGUUGGUGGGGUAAUGGCCCACCAAGGCGACGACGGGUAGCCGGCCUGAGAGGGCGACCGGCCACACGGGGACUGAGACACGGCCCGGACUCCUGCGGGAGGCAGCAGUGGGGAAUAUUGCGCAAUGGGCGAAAGCCUGACGCAGCGACGCCGCGUGAGGGAUGACGGCCUUCGGGUUGUAAACCUCUUUCAGCAGGGACGAAUUCAGACGGUACCUGCAGAAGAAGCACCGGCCAACUACGUG
rnacentral:rRNA from 1 species